AUGUGUGUGCUUAUGUUGAUGU
rnacentral:piRNA from 1 species